rnacentral:rRNA from 1 species
AUGCAAGUCGAGGGGAAACGAUAUUGGAAGCUUGCUUCCGAUAGGCGUCGACCGGCGCACGGGUGAGUAACGCGUAUCCAACCUGCCCACCACUUGGGGAUAACCUUGCGAAAGUAAGACUAAUACCCAAUGAUAUCUCUAGAAGACAUCUGAAAGAGAUUAAAGAUUUAUCGGUGAUGGAUGGGGAUGCGUCUGAUUAGCUUGUUGGCGGGGUAACGGCCCACCAAGGCGACGAUCAGUAGGGGUUCUGAGAGGAAGGUCCCCCACAUUGGAACUGAGACACGGUCCAAACUCCUACGGGAGGCAGCAGUGAGGAAUAUUGGUCAAUGGGCGAGAGCCUGAACCAGCCAAGUAGCGUGCAGGAUGACGGCCCUAUGGGUUGUAAACUGCUUUUAUAAGGGAAUAAAGUGAGCCUCGUGAGGCUUUUUGCAUGUACCUUAUAAAUAAGGACCGGCUAAUUCCGUGCCAGCAGCCGCGGUAAUACGGAAGGUCCGGGCGUUAUCCGGAUUUAUUGGGUUUAAAGGGAGCGUAGGCCGGAGAUUAAGCGUGUUGUGAAAUGUAGAUGCUCAACAUCUGCACUGCAGCGCGAACUGGUUUCCUUGAGUACGCACAAAGUGGGCGGAAUUCGUGGUGUAGCGGUGAAAUGCUUAGAUAUCACGAAGAACUCCGAUUGCGAAGGCAGCUCACUGGAGCGCAACUGACGCUGAAGCUCGAAAGUGCGGGUAUCGAACAGGAUUAGAUACCCUGGUAGUCCGCACGGUAAACGAUGGAUGCCCGC